CAGUCGCCGCGGGAAUACCGAGGGUGCGAGCGUUAAUCGGAUUUACUGGGCGUAAAGCGUGUGUAGGUUGUUGUUCAAGUCAGUUGUGAAAUCCCUGGGCUCAACCUGGGAACUGCUUCUGAGACUGAACGACUAGAGUACGGUAGAGGGUGGUGGAAUUUCCGGUGUAGCGGUGAAAUGCGUAGAUAUCGGAAGGAACAUCAAUGGCGAAGGCAGCCACCUGGGCCUGUACUGACACUGAGACACGAAAGCGUGGGGAUCAAACAGGAUUAGAUACCCGCGUAGUCCCUGUCUCUUAUAA
rnacentral:rRNA from 1 species